GCGUACCUCUCCCACCAACCCGUCCACCACUCUGGAACUUUCCCCUCUCUCGCUCAUCUCGCUCUCUCUGCCCUGCACUAGUAGCGAACCCUAGCGCUCUCCCCUCCCCUCCCCUUGCCGCCACCCCCACGCACCCGUCCCCCGCCGCCACCCACCCGUCCCCUCGCCGCCACCCACCAGUCCCGUCGCCGCCGCCCACCUCGGCCACACCUCCCCUCCCGACCUCAGAUCCAACUUCCCACCACCACGUCGGCGCCCAAUCCCGGCGACCUAAGGCGGGAUUCUACGGUGCCCAGCACACCUACACCCGUCAACGGCCAUGGAGGCGGUGGCUCUCUCCGCCAGCGACGUGCCGACCAUGAACGCGGUCCUCGCCAACUCGUUCAGCGCCGACGAGGCGACGCCGCACCCCGCGGAGUAGGCCCUCUCCUCUGUUACCGUCCCGUCCUUCUCCUUCACGCAUCUUCCCUCUCUCUCAUGUACAUAUACAACAGCCCCGCCAUGGAUGGCCUCUUCAGGAGCUCAUGCCGCCGCUACAGUUCGUCCGUGUCGCCGCCCCGCGGACCACCCCCGCGCCUCUGUCGCCCCACCAUCUAAGCCACGACACCCGCUCGUCCUCUACUUCGAGCGACGGGACAUGCGCCGCCCCUCAUUGAUCUCCAGCGAGCUCCAAGUCCCACGAUCCACGACAGCCAGCCCCGCCCCUCCAAGUCUCACGAUCCACGACAUCCAGCCAGCCACGUUCCACUCGUCGCCGGCCUGCCCCGCAAUUAGCAGGCCCUCAUCGUCAUCCUAAUGGCCGGGUCGCCUGUUGAAGGAGUUCAUUCUGGGCAGCCGGAGGCGUACGAGUUCAAGAUCGGCGACAAGUUUUUUUGAAGGUCCGGAGACCCACCCCUGGACCAAGUUAUCGAGAUGCUACAGAAGCACAAGGAUAAGUCUCAAGAUGAAAUCUAGCUAGCUGGCUACAGUAUGCCUUAUGCUCUUGUUGAUUUAUUUCUUUUGCGCUCUAUUGCAGUUCUAAAUUGAUGAGUGAGUGAUCUGGUAGCAGCUAGCUAACUGCCUGUAGAUUGUAACCCUGUUAUCGGAUGUGUGGUUGCGCAUGCGUUCUGCAUUGUCAAAUGUGUUCUCUGUUGUCACACAUCGUAUGCGGUGUUGUUCAUAGUUUUUAUAUUUGUUGACAUGCGAUGCGGUCACUGAAUUGCUCAAAUUUGCUGGCCAAGUACUAUGUAGUACUGUUCUAUGCUAGGCUACCAGGCUAGGUAACUUCUUUAUCAAAAUCAUGGGUUCUAAUCUUUACUAUUAUCUGCCAUGGAUCAACAAUGAUGCGUCAUAGGUAGUAGUAGUAGAGUCGGACUUGGUGCUGCAUUGCCGAGUUAUUAAAAGCAUGCUCUAUAUUGUUUUGUCACAUGCACUUUGGUCUAUAUAUGAUGGGAGAUUUUGUACAUGAACAAAAGAAACAAAGGUAAAACUGUAUUUAUCACUUUGCAUAACCUCAGUACAUUUACAUGCACACGCCACACAUUUGACUGCUGAGUGUUUGAAUUAUUGGAAUGUGGGGUUUGCUCUGUUUAUUCCCAUGUUCUUUGGUGGUUUGGGGACUGGUGUGUUAUUUGUUGGGCUAUUCAACACUGAUUUUUGUGGGACGGGAAGAAAAAUGGAGCUGAUAAUUUGUUAGGCUAUUAAAAACAUGGAAGGAAGAUGAGUACUCUGGUUACUGAUAAUUUGUAGUCAUGCUAUCAGAAUUUACAACUAUUGUUUGAUUCAAACCUUUGUUCUUUUUCUUGGUGUUUACAUGUGCCGAUGAGUAGAGCUGGUCGAAUCCUCGAUGUCCUAUGUUGCCGGCAACCCCAAAAUGUCUGACACUGAAUUCGACAAGCUCAAGCUCAUACUCAAGAUCAGUAUGAAACAAGAUUUGCGAUUUGGAAGCUGGGAAGUUGGGGAAUGCGAAGUUUGAAGAGACCUGGAGUAUCUAGACUGAUUGCCAUGUGUAUAUGUGUUAUAUGAUGAUGUAACACACUGAUUCUGCUAUUGUAUGAUGUAUCAAACUGAUUUUGGCUAUUAUCUGAAGUAUUACGUGUGUUCUUUGUCUGUUCC